UAUAAUGUUCAUGGAAAACUUUCUAAAGUUCACUUUAUAUUUUUUCAUAAAUUUCUUAAGUUUUUAUAUUGUUUAAAUUAAUCCCAUAGAGGAGGGAAAGAAGUACAAUCUAAAAAUAAUAAAUUGAAAGUAUAAUGGCUAUAUAUACAUACCCUAUUUCUCAAGGCUGCAGUGGAUGCAGAGCCAAUGUCGCAAAUCUGAACAAGCUGGCCAGGACGCCUGCAUUCCUGGAUAAGUUUUGCAGUUUUUGCCAGGGCCAAGGCCUCAGAAGCCCAACUCAUGUAUCCAGGUCCAGCAACAGAAGGGCACACCCAAUAGAAAAGGCAGAGAAGGCAGGAACCAAGGAAAUACCUGAGACUGUUUUGUCUUCACCUGCAAGGU